AGCCAGUUAGCUUAGUUGGUAGUGCGUCUGCCUUGUAAGCGCUAGCGCGGGUUCGAUUCCCGCCCGGGCGA
rnacentral:tRNA from 1 species